rnacentral:rRNA from 1 species
CCAAUAGCGUAUAUUAAAGUUGUUGCAGUUAAAAAGCUCGUAGUUGAAUUUCGGGAUCAGACUGUCGGUCGUGCCUCGGUACGCACUGGCAUUAUUGGUUCCUACCUUCUGAAGAACCGCGAUGUCAUUAAUUUGGUGUCGUGGGGAAUCAGGACUGUUACUUUGAAAAAAUUAGAGUGUUUAAAGCAGGCGCACGCUUGAAUACAUUAGCAUGGAAUAAUGAAAUAGGACGUUUGAUUCUAUUUUGUUGGUUUCUAGGAUCGACGUAAUGAUUAAUAGGGAUAGUUGGGGGCAUUAGUAUUCAAUUGUCAGAGGUGAAAUUCUUGGAUUUAUUGAAGACUAACUACUGCGAAAGCAUUUGCCAAGGAUGUUUUCAUUAAUCAAGAACGAAAGUUAGGGGAUCGAAGACGAUCAGAUACCGUCGUAGUCUUAACCAUAAACUAUGCCGACUAGGGAUCGGAUGAUGUUAAUUUUAUUAUUACUCAUUCCGCGCCUUACG